UACGUAGGUGGCAAGCGUUGUCCGGAUUUACUGGGCGUAAAGAGCUCGUAGGCGGCUUGUCGCGUCGACUGUGAAAACCCGUGGCUCAACCAUGUGGUCUGCAGUCGAUACGGGCAGGCUAGAAUUCGGUAGGGGAGACUGGAAUUCCUGGUGUAGCGGUGAAAUGCGCAGAUAUCAGGAGGAACACCGGUGGCGAAGGCGGGUCUCUGGGCCGAUAUUGACGCUGAGGAGCGAAAGCGUGGGGAGCGAACAGG
rnacentral:rRNA from 1 species